CUUGAACCUAAGCACUCAAGGACCUUUGAAGUUAUCCAACCUCUUCCCAUUUGACAAGGAAGGAGACUAAAGCAAGACACAGACAGAUCAAGACGUCAAGGAAGGAAGAUGAGGUGCCACAGCCUUCUACUUAUAACCAACUAAAGACAUGACUCUCAUUGGACAAUCAGAGAAGACAGCAAAGAUGAUAUGUCACUUCUGCCCUGAUGUCACUGCAAGGUCAAGCACACUGUCUCUCACCAUCUGUCUUCUAAUAUGUGACACUAUCCAAGGAGGUGAAGAUCUGGGUGUCAUGGUACUCAUAACUG